rnacentral:lncRNA from 13 species
GACCUGGCCUGGAGCGCAGGGCCCGGCCGGGGCGUCCCGCGGUGUCACUGCCGGUGCUCGCGUGUCUCUGCAGUGGCGAUCUGCCGGGCUGUAGCGCGUUUCUCUGCUUUUCGUUCCCUCCCUUCCCUUCUCCCCUCCCGGGUCGGGGAUGCCCAGCCCAGCGACCUUUAUAGGGACCCUUGCUGCGCUUCGGGCACGCCAAGGUGCAGGGUGGCACCGUGCAAGGCAGCGCCCCCCGCCUCCCCGCCACCCUCCCACCUCUGCCCCGGGCGCCGCCCCUGGGAGCCCUGGCUGGCCUUCGGAUCCCAGCCCCCGACCUGGGCGCCCUGGGCCAUUCCCUGGGCCGCCGCCCUCGCAGGUCACUUGUUCCCAGCCCUCUGGCCUGAGCGCCAGCGCGCGGCGGCCUGGCCGGCAGAGGGCCCCGUUGGUCCAGGAAUCUGGCACCGGCCAGGGCGGGAGAGGCCCCCUGGGAGGGAAGCCCGGCAGGUGUAUCCCGUUCUCAAAGAAAAUAAAAUAUUUUCAUGGGAAACUUUCCCUUUGUGUUUUUCUUUCUCCCCCUUAUUUUCUCUCCGUUCCUUUCUUCUGGGUCGUCUUCCAGGAUCAGCUCGGUGUCUCCUUUCCCUGGGGCCCCUACCCGCAACCCUCUCCUGGCUCCGACUGUGGGUACGGCCCUGGGCCCGUAGCCUCACCCGGGAGGGCAGGAGGGAGGGCCACAGGUCCGUGGUGAGUCACGGGGGCCUUGCCAGCCAGCUGUGCUUCCCUGCUCUCCAGCCCAGUGGAGACUCUGCUCCUCGGGCUCGGGACACACCCUGGGCUUGUCUGGGCUGCAGUGGCUUUGUCCCUGAUCCGAUUCCUGGCGACGGGGUGGGGCUGGUUCCUGGCCUCUCCUCCGAUCUGUCUCUGGGCUUUGCGCCCUGGAGGAGGUCAAGGGGCUCUGCUGCUUUAGGUGUGUGUGUGUGUUCCAGCUCUCUUGCAGAAAGUGAGUCCAGGCCUGUGCCCGGCACACAGCAAAGGUUUCCAUGCUGUGGUGGCUUCUCUGGCCAGACCCCCUGGGCCCUGCUUCUUGGCUCCAAAGGACCCAUCAAGGGAGGAUUCCUGAGUCCUGUCCUGAGGGCAGUUCUCCAUGUAGCUGCCAUGUGGGAAGUCCAGAGGGCAAGUGUGCUGCCUUUAGGGACAGCUGGCAUUGCAGAGGGCAGCUAG